rnacentral:rRNA from 1 species
CCUACGGGAGGCAGCAGUGAGGAAUAUUGGGCAAUGGGCGGAAGCCUGAACCAGCCAAGUCGCGUGAGGGAAUAAGGCCCUACGGGUCGUAAACCUCUUUUGCCGGGGAGCAAGGGCGGGGACGUGUCCCGGCCCGGAGAGUACCCGGCGAAAAAGCAUCGGCUAACUCUGUGCCAGCAGCCGCGGUAAUACGGAGGAUGCUAGCGUUAUCCGGAUGUAUUGGGUUUAACGGGUGCGUAGGCGGGCUGUUAAGUCAGCGGGAAACAUUCGGGGCUAAACCCCCUCCGGCCGUUGAAACUGGGGGCCGUGAGUGGGCGAGAAGAAGGCGGAAUGCGUGGUGUAGCGGUGAAAUGCAUAGAUA